ACUGCUCAGUAACACGUGGAUAACCUACCCAAGAGUCCGGGAUAACCCCGGGAAACUGGGGAUAAUACCGGAUAGGCCACCCAGGCUGGAAGGCGGGGUGGUUGAAACUUCCGGGGCUUUUGGAUGGGUCUGCGGCUGAUUAGGUUGUUGCCGGUGUAAUGUACCGUCAAGCCUGUAAUCAGUACGGGUUGUGGGAGCAAGAGCCCGGAGAUGGAUUCUGAGACACGAAUCCAGGCCCUACGGGGCGCAGCAGGCGCGAAAACUCUACAAUGCAGGCAACUGCGAUAGGGGAACAUCGAGUGAUCCUCAUAUUGGGGAUCUGUCCACUCGCCUAAAAAGCGGGUGUUAGCAAGGGCCGGGCAAGACCGGUGCCAGCCGCCGCGGUAAUACCGGCGGCUCGAGUGGUGGCCGAUAUUAUUGAGUCUAAAGGGUCCGUAGCCGGCUUUGCAAGUCUCUCGGGAAAUCCAGCGGCUUAACCGUUGGUCGUCCGGGGGGUACUACAUUGCUCGGGACUGGGAGAGGUAGGAGGUACUCAGGGGGUAGGAGUGAAAUCCUGUAAUCCUUUGGGGACCACCGGUGGCGAAGGCGUCCUACCAGAACAGGUCCGACGGUGAGGGACGAAAGCUAGGGGCACGAACCGGAUUAGAUACCCGGGUAGUCCUAGCCGUAAACGAUGCUCGCUAGGUGUCACAACAGUCGUGAACUGUUGUGGUGCCGUAGGGAAGCCGUGAAGCGAGCCACUUGGGAAGUACGACCGCAAGGUUGAAACUUAAAGGAAUUGGCGGGGGAGCAC
rnacentral:rRNA from 1 species